GUUCUAAAAACGUGAUUCUUAAAGCCUAGUGAAGCUGUGUGUGGCCUAUUUCUAUUCACUAGCACUUGUUAUUUUUGGUGUUAGUUUGUUCAUCUUGUUGUUCUUGCUGGAUUAUUACAUUGUGGACUUGAUAUUGUAUCAUUUGGUAUCAAAGCAAGGCUGGUUGUUUUCCUACACUACCAAUCUUGGGCUCUCUUGGACGAAAAUUCAAAAAAAAAAUUGUUGAAAUCUGAAAAUUCCAAAAAAAGAAAAAGAGAAAUCUGUCCAUCUUGUUGUCUUUGCCAAUAUUGGCGUUUGUGUGUUUAGAUCUAGGUGUUAUUUUAUUUUUUUAGUGUGUUUCUAGUGUUGUUUUCUUUUCACCAACACUAAAAAUGUCUAGAUCUAAAGUUGAGCUUAUAAAAUUGACCAUUG
rnacentral:lncRNA from 1 species